GUGGGGAAUAUUGGGCAAUGGGGGAAACCCUGACCCAGCAACGCCGCGUGAAGGAAGAAGGUUUUCGGAUCGUAAACUUCUAUCCUUGGUGAAGAUAAUGACGGUAGCCAAGAAGGAAGCCCCGGCUAACUACGUGCCAGCAGCCGCGGUAAUACGUAGGGGGCAAGCGUUGUCCGGAAUGAUUGGGCGUAAAGGGCGCGUAGGCGGCCUGGUAAGUCUGGAGUGAAAGUCCUGCUUUUAAGGAGGGAAUUGCUUUGGAUACUGUCGGGCUGGAGUGCAGGAGAGGGAAGCGGAAUUACCGGUGUAGCGGUGAAAUGCGUAGAGAUCGGGAGGAACACCAGUGGCGAAGGCGGCUUACUGGACUGUAACUGACGCUGAGGCGCGAAAGUGUGGGGAGCAAACAGGAUUAGAUACCCCAGUAGUCC
rnacentral:rRNA from 1 species